rnacentral:rRNA from 1 species
AUACAGGGGGUGCGAGCGUUAAUCGGAAUUACUGGGCGUAAAGAGUACGUAGGCGGUUGCUUAAGUCAGAUGUGAAAGCCCCGGGCUCAACCUGGGAACUGCAUUUGAAACUGAGUGACUAGAGUUUAAGAGAGGGGAGUAGAAUUCCGGGUGUAGCGGUGAAAUGCGUAGAGAUCCGGAGGAAUACCAGUGGCGAAGGCGGCUCCCUGGCUUAAACUGACGCUGAGGUACGAAAGCGUGGGUAGCAAACAGGAUUAGAAACCCUAGUAGUCC